UACGAAGGGGGCUAGCGUUGCUCGGAAUCACUGGGCGUAAAGGGUGCGUAGGCGGGUCUUUAAGUCAGAGGUGAAAUCCUGGAGCUCAACUCCAGAACUGCCUUUGAUACUGAGGAUCUUGAGUUCGGGAGAGGUGAGUGGAACUGCGAGUGUAGAGGUGAAAUUCGUAGAUAUUCGCAAGAACACCAGUGGCGAAGGCGGCUCACUGGCCCGAUACUGACGCUGAGGCACGAAAGCGUGGGUAGCAAACAGGG
rnacentral:rRNA from 1 species